rnacentral:rRNA from 1 species
AUGAACGCUGGCGGCGUGCCUAAUACAUGCAAGUCGAGCGAACAGACGAGGAGCUUGCUCCUCUGACGUUAGCGGCGGACGGGUGAGUAACACGUGGAUAACCUACCUAUAAGACUGGGAUAACUUCGGGAAACCGGAGCUAAUACCGGAUAAUAUAUUGAACCGCAUGGUUCAAUAGUGAAAGACGGUUUUGCUGUCACUUAUAGAUGGAUCCGCGCCGCAUUAGCUAGUUGGUAAGGUAACGGCUUACCAAGGCGACGAUGCGUAGCCGACCUGAGAGGGUGAUCGGCCACACUGGAACUGAGACACGGUCCAGACUCCUACGGGAGGCAGCAGUAGGGAAUCUUCCGCAAUGGGCGAAAACCUGACGGAGCAACGCCGCGUGAGUGAUGAAGGUCUUCGGAUCGUAAAACUCUGUUAUUAGGGAAGAACAAAUGUGUAAGUAACUAUGCACGUCUUGACGGUACCUAAUCAGAAAGCCACGGCUAACUACGUG